rnacentral:rRNA from 1 species
UACGAAGGGGGCUAGCGUUGUUCGGAAUCACUGGGCGUAAAGCGCACGUAGGCGGGUCGUUAAGUCGGGGGUGAAAUGCCAAGGCUCAACCUUGGAACUGCCUUCGAUACUGGCGAUCUCGAGUCCGGGAGAGGUGAGUGGAACUCCGAGUGUAGAGGUGAAAUCGUAGAUAUUCGGAAGAACACCAGUGGCGAAGGCGGCUCACUGGCCCGGUACUGACGUGCG